rnacentral:rRNA from 1 species
UACGAAGGGGGCUAGCGUUGUUCGGAAUUACUGGGCGUAAAGCGCACGUAGGCGGCUUUGUAAGUUAGAGGUGAAAGCCCAGGGCUUAACCCUGGAAUUGCCCUUAAGACUGCAUCGCUAGAAUCGUGGAGAGGUGAGUGGAAUUCCGAGUGUAGAGGUGAAAUUCGUAGAUAUUCGGAAGAACACCAGUGGCGAAGGCGACUCACUGGACACGUAUUGACGCUGAGGUGCGAAAGCGUGGGGAGCAAACAGG